CCUACGGGGCGCAGCAGUGGGGAAUAUUGCACAAUGGGGGAAACCCUGAUGCAGCGACGCCGCGUGAGCGAAGAAGUAUUUCGGUAUGUAAAGCUCUAUCAGCAGGGAAGAAAAAUGACGGUACCUGAGUAAGAAGCCCCGGCUAACUACGUGCCAGCAGCCGCGGUAAUGCGUAGGGGGCAAGCGUUAUCCGGAUUUACUGGGUGUAAAGGGAGCGUAGACGGCAUGGCAAGUCUGAUGUGAAAACCCGGGGCUCAACCCCGGGACGGCAUUGGAAACUGUCAGGCUAGAGUGUCGGAGAGGCA
rnacentral:rRNA from 1 species